CACAACUUUCAGCGACGGAUAUCUCGGCUCAGGCACCUAUGAAGGGCGCAGCGAAAGCGCGAUAGUCUUUGUGAAUUGCAGAUCUCCGUGUAACCAAUGGCCCCCUGAACGCGCAUUGCACUCUUGGGACUUCCUGAGAGUAUGUUUGCUUCAGUGCUU
rnacentral:rRNA from 1 species